rnacentral:sRNA from 1 species
GCUUGUGUAUGAGCGCAGCGGCGGACCUGUGAGGGGAUCCGACUUGCCGGCAGAACUUAGGCUGCGGGACCCCGGGCACUGUUGCUGCUGCGGGAGGGAGAAGGCUGAGCAGACCAUCUGGAACCGUUUACAUCAGCUUAAAGCCUUGAAGACAAGGCGGCCCCGCUCCCGGGUUCCUCUGAGGAUUGGAAUUCUAGGCUGCAUGGCUGAGAGGUUGAAGGAGGAGAUUCUCAACAGAGAGAAAAUGGUAGAUAUUUUGGCUGGUCCUGACGCCUACCGGGACCUUCCCCGGCUGCUGGCUGUUGCUGAGUCGGGUCAGCAAGCUGCCAACGUGCUGCUCUCUCUGGACGAGACCUAUGCUGAUGUCAUGCCAGUCCAGACAAGCGCCAGUGCCACGUCUGCCUUUGUGUCGAUCAUGCGAGGCUGUGACAACAUGUGUAGCUACUGCAUUGUUCCUUUCACCCGGGGCAGGGAGAGGAGUCGGCCUAUUGCCUCCAUUCUAGAGGAAGUGAAGAAGCUUUCUGAGCAGGGGCUGAAAGAAGUGACACUUCUUGGUCAGAAUGUUAAUAGUUUUUGGGACAAUUCAGAGGUCCAGUUCAACAAUGCAGUACCUACCAAUCUCAGUCGUGGCUUUACCACCAACUAUAAAACCAAGCAAGGAGGACUUCGUUUUGCUCAUCUUCUGGAUCAGGUCUCCAGAGUAGAUCC